AGUGAAAUUGUUAGGUCAAAUGGUAACUCUAUGUUUAACUUUUUGAAGAACUGCCAGAAUGUUUUCCAAAGUGACUGCACCAUUUUGCAUUACCGCUAGCAGU
rnacentral:pre_miRNA from 1 species